rnacentral:rRNA from 1 species
AUUGAACGCUGGCGGCAUGCUUUACACAUGCAAGUCGAACGGCAGCACGGGGGCAACCCUGGUGGCGAGUGGCGAACGGGUGAGUAAUAUAUCGGAACGUACCCGGAAAUGGGGUUAACGUAGCGAAAGUUACGCUAAUACCGCAUAUGCCCUAAGGGGGAAAGCGGGGGAUUCGCAAGAACCUCGCGUUUUCGGAGCGGCCGAUAUCGGAUUAGCUAGUAGGUGAGGUAAAGGCUCACCUAGGCGACGAUCCGUAGCUGGUCUGAGAGGACGACCAGCCACACUGGAACUGAGACACGGUCCAGACUCCUACGGGAGGCAGCAGUGGGGAAUUUUGGACAAUGGGCGCAAGCCUGAUCCAGCCAUGCCGCGUGAGUGAAGAAGGCCUUCGGGUUGUAAAGCUCUUUCAGCCGGAAGAAAACGACACGGGUUAAUAACCUAGUGUGGAUGACGGUACCGGAAGAAGAAG